UGUAUUUAAAUUGUGUCUCUGUGGAUGCCAUAUUGUUGGGUCUUGCUUUCCUCUCAGGUCUGGCAGUCUCUGUCUUAAGUAGAGUAUUUGUCCAGUUACAUUGUAACUAAUCAUUGCUAAGGUUGGAUUUAGGUCUGCCAUUUUUCUACUUAUUUUCUAUUUGUUUUUUUUUUUUUUUUUUUAAGACAGGGUCUUGCUCUGUCACUGAGACUGUAGUGCAAUGGUGCAAUGUUGGCUCACUGCAACCUCUGCCUCCCAGGCCCAACCAAUCCUCACUGGAGCCCACUGAGUAGCUGGGACUACAGGCACAUGGAAACACACCUGGCUAAUUUUUAUAUUUUUUGUAGACCACCACUGCUGGGGCCUGGGGAUUGCUGGGAAAAA
rnacentral:lncRNA from 1 species